rnacentral:lncRNA from 1 species
AUAGACGAGUAGACCUUAGGCGAGGGAAGGCAUGUACUUUCCCUAAGAAGCGGGAGGAGAGAAAUAAAUAGAGGGCAGUGGGAUGAGAAGAACCUCGCGGGAUGGGAAGCCGCGGAGGGAAGGGCCGUCUUUGGUUACCUGGAGAGCGGGAGCAGCUGCGGAUCCCUUAUGAAGUGCCCGGAUGAAGCUCCAGCGCUCACGCGCUUUCCGCAUUGAGUGCAGCGCCAUCUUGAGAAGGGCGGAGCCGUCUUGUUUGGAAUGACGUCUGUUCAGAGAGCCAAUCCCAGUCUCGCGACUCCUGCUUGCUGGGCGCGGCUUGGGCCUCCAGGCUGCGCAGCGCAGCCGCUAUCGGGCGGACUGCAGUUCUUGCCGAGCAGUCGCAAUGAUUUGUAUGACAGCUGCUAGCCCAAGAGAGAGUUCCAGAAGAGGGCUACCUAACAGGUGCUGUGGCAUUUAGAAGAGGAAUGGAGCCAUUGUCAACGCACAGCUUGCAGGGGAGCAGGAGAGUCAGUCUAAGAAGGAAAUGUGAUGAUGGAAACAGAGGUUGGAAGAUGGAAGAGGACCCAGAGUCAAGGAAUGCAGAAUCAAGGCCAUCAAGCGACAGAUGUUCUUACAAAUGGAACACCAAUUGAGUUCAACUUACAACUUCUACUGAGGACCCCUGGACCGACGUGCUGGCACUUCCCCUGGCCUAGAGAGUUCCCCUCUGAAAGACACUACAACUGCAGGGCCCCUUCUUUGCCCCUAUCCAGCAGGAAGUAGCUAGAGCGGUCAUCAGCCAAAUUCCCAACAGCAGUUGGGGUGUCCUGUUUAGAGGGGGGAUUGAGAGGUGACAGCGUGCUGGCAGCCCUCGCAACCCUCGCUUGCUCUUGGUGCCUCCUCUGCCUGGCUCCCACUUUGGCAGCACUUGAGGAGCUCUUCAGCCCACCGCUGCACUGUGGGAGCCCCUUUCUGGGCUGGCCAAGGCUGGAGCUGGCUCCCUCAGCUUGCAGGGAGGUGUGGAGGGAGAGGCAUGGGCGGGAACCAGGGCUGCGCAUGGCGCUUGCUGGCCAGUGAGAGUUCCGGGUGGGCGUGGGCUCGGCGGGUCCCCGCACUCAGAGCAGCCAGCUGGCCCCGCCUGCCCCGGGCAGUGAGGGGCUUAGCACCUGUGCCAGCAGCUGCUGUGCUCUACUUCUCGCCGGGCCUUAGCUGCCUCCCCGUGGGGCAGGGCUUGGGACCUGCAGCCCACCAUGCCUGAGCCUCCCUCGCCUCUGUGGGCUUCUGUGUGGCCCGAGCCCCCCCGACGAGCACCACCCUCUGCUCCAUGGCGCCCAGUCCCAUCGACCACCCAAGGGCUGAGGAGUGCGGUUACACAGCGUGGGACUGACAGGCAGCUCCACCUGCGGCCCUGGUGCAGGAUCCACUGGGUGAAGCCAGCUGGGCUCCUGACUCUGGUGGGGAGUUGGAGAACCUUUAUGUCUAGCUAAGGGAUUGUAAAUACACCAAUAGGCACUCUGUAUCUAGCUCAAGGUUUGUAAACACACCAAUCAGCACCCUGUGUCUAGCUCAGGGUUUGUGAAUGUAACAAUUGACACUAUGUAUCCAGCUACUCUGGUGGGGACUUGGAGAACCUUUGUAUCUAGCUAGGGGAUUGUAAAUACACCAAUCGGCAUUCUGUAUCUAGCUCAAGGUUUGUAAACACACCAAUCAGCACCCUGUGUCUAGCUCAGGGUUUGUGAAUACACCAAUUGACACUGUGUAUCUAGCUACUCUAGUGGGGACGUGGAGAACCUUUGUGUCUAGCUCAGGGAUUGUAAACGCACCAAUCAGUGCCCUGUCAAAACAGACCACUCGGCUCUCUGUAAAAUGGACCAAUCAGCAGGAUGUGGGUGGGGCCAGAUAAGAGAAUAAAAGCAGGCUGCCCCAGCCAGCAGUGGCAACCCGCUUGGGUCCCCUUCCACACUGUGGAAGCUUUGUUCUUUUGCUCUUUGCAGUAAGUCUUGCUGCUGCUCACUCUUUGGGUCCACACUGCCUUUAUGAGCUGUAACACUCACGGCGAAGGUCUGCAGCUUUACUCCUGAAGCCAGCAAGACCACAAACCCACCGGGAGGAACAAACACCUCCAGAUGCACUGCCUUAAGAGCUGUAACACUCACCGCAAAGGUCCGCAGCUUCACUCCUGAGCCAGCGAGACCAUGAACCCCACCAGAAGGAAGAAACUCCAAACACAUCCAAACAUCAGAAGGAACAAACUCUGGACACGCUGCCUUUAAGAACUGUAACACUCACCGCGAGGGUCUGCGGCUUCAUUCUUGAAGUCAGUGAGACCAAGAACCCACCAACCAGACACAUUAGGACCCCUCGGAUAGUGACAGAUCUGGAGGACGGUUGUCUGGGACAGGAGAGUAAGACUGAGAAGGCCACGUCAAUGUCCAGGAGACAGUUAAUCUCCUGGCCCUCAAUGAUCAAGCAUACCUGGGGCUCUGUGAGGGUGAUGGCAUGGGCUGGCACUUGCCCUGGGCACCCUCAGUCCUGCUGCUGGAUCAUCGGGUUAGUGGCUUCUGACUCAGAGGACCUUUGUCCCCUGGGGCAGCGGCCUUCCAUUGAGUCCCUUGACAUAAGGGGCACGGAUGAGGAGGCGGCUUACUUCUAUUCUGACAAUCUUUUUAAAAGUGUCCUUGUAGACCACACUGGAAGCAAGUCCUAUUAGGCAUUCAAUUUGCCCAGACUUUCCGUGUUCCAAAGCCUCCAAUGUCUGCUUGCCUAAGGGCCAUGACUAAAGCGGUGGCCUUUUUCUUAUCUCAUUUGUCCCCUUCCUCCUGCUCCUCCUGAUCUCUAUUAUAAAAAACCGAGGUUGUGAAAUCAAUAGGGUUCCUAAGUUUUGCUCCGGGCCUAAGGUGGACUUUUGAUGUUUUUUCUAAUGUCUGCAGCUAACUGAGUGAUAAACUUAUCCUUUAAGAUUAGUUGGCCUUCAAUAGAGUCCGGUGACAGAGUGGUAUGCUUCCUCAAUGCCUCCCUUAGUCUCUCCAGAAAGGCAGUAGGAUUUUCUUCCUUUCCCUGUGUGAUAGUGGACACCAUUGAAUAAUGUAUAGGCUUCUUCCUACUUUUCCUUAGUCCUUCUAGCAUGCAAGUUAGUAAAUGUCUGUGGCACCAAUCUCCAUGUAUUCUGCGUCCCAGUGAGGGUCUACACUGGGCUUUUUGAUUCUGUAAGUACUUUAAGGGUUGGCCGAGUGCAAACAGCUCCCAUGUUUGAGCAGACCAAUUAUUAGGCAAUUUUCCUAACUCUGCUUCCGCAAGAGUCUCCCUAUCAAUUACUGCAUACCCAUUGUGUUUUUUUUUUUUCCCUCAGUCACCCGGGAGGAACCAUCUAUCAUCCUGCCUUGAAGGUAGUUUCUGCUGGAUCUGGUCAGACCUUUGUAUGGUAAUGAGGAUUUAAAUCCCCUGUUAGGAAAUCUGCUAGGUUAAUGUAAUUUGCUGUGGUUAAUGUUAAAUCACCUUUUUCUAGCAGAAUAGCCCCAUACUUUAAGAUUUUUGAGUUAGUAAGCUCCCUUUUUGCUUUUUGACUUAGGAUAGUUCUGAACUGGUGAGGUGUGCUCACAAUGAGGUUUCCUCUAAAGGUUAUUUUUCUGCUUUCUUCUGUUAGCAAAGCAGUUGCUGCUACAGAUUGAAUGCAUUUGGGCCAUCCACGGGUUCCUGGGUUAAGGAUUUUUGAUAGAAAGGCUACUGGUUGUCAGUGGCUUCAGUGCUUUCGGGCUAGGCCUUUGUUUACACUGACAACAAAAUGGUAUUGGAGUGUUAUGGGGUCACAGAGAAGACCUUCAAUUAUCAAUUAUAGGUUUUAAAUUUACCCUGGCUUUUAAAGAAAUAGGGUACACUUUUUUCUUUACUACUUCUAUCUUUCUCUUUCUCUCUUUCUUUCUCCUUUCUGUCUUUGUAGAUGGAUUUUGGAAACCCAGUGGAAGGAUGUUCGCUCAUUGCCCCCAUUUGCCACUAUAGGACUAUGCGCCUCCCUUUUAUUUACUCAAUUUGCUUUUAUCCUGAUCUAUUAUGUUGUUGUAGACCCAGUUCCAGUUGUUACAAUACUGGGUUAUCAGUUCUAAGGCCCUGGCAAGGGUGGUGUGGAACAGGUCCCACAUAACUGCCCAUGUCGAGAGCUCUAAGCCUAAAUUGGGAGGGACACCAGGGACAAGACUCCUGGGUUCAUAGCCUAGGGGCCUAAGGUCGCAGCAUAGAGCUUCCUUAGAUCCCUUUGGAGAUACUAAUACUUGGGAGAGGAAGUGAAAGUCUGAAGCAUUAGUAUCUAGGAGGCAGGGAUCAGAGGAAGUAGAUUCAGAGGUAAGGAGAAUUUUGGGGCUACACUUUCAAGAAAGUUGUGGUCAGGACCCAGGAGGUAUGGGUCAGAAGGAAAGGUAGAGGCACACGCACGGGUGACUGUUGAGUAGGGACUUCUGGCUGCGCCAUGAUCUCAACCGGCUAAUGCCGAGAGUUUGGGAUGACAGCUUUCUGCCUCUAGUCGGCCCCCGGCUUCCCCAGGGAAAUUGAAAGUGGAAGCUGGUUCCAGGUAGACCAGCGCUUCCAACCCAGAAGCGUUGGGGGUUGUUAGAAAGCCAUUCCCCAGACAGCCUCACACUUGAGUCUUAAGUCUGGUGGCCGCCCUAUCGUUUUUAACCGUCCGACAGGUGCCUGGUAUUUUCCUCCAAUUCUAAGGAAGGGUAGAACAGAAUAGCAAGCGAAAGCGCUUUGGAGGUCCCUUCAUGAUUGCCAAAAUGUUACCAGGGAGUCCUUGUUCUUAGAGCUCCAAAGAUGAUGGUGGGCCGCUUCCAUGAUGGCGGCAAGCCUCUUGUUCUCUGACCUGGGGUUCCUGGCCUCACGGAUACUAAGGAAUGGAAUCUUGGGCCAUGCAUUGAGUGUUAUAGCUCUAUUCAGCCCAAUUAGGAUGAACCCCAGGCACUUAGCCCGCGCAGGAACAAUGGCAAGCCUCUAGCCCGAUUGGGAGCAGCAAUGGACACUGCCUCGCUGGAUCACAAGUGCAGCAGAUCCACCCCUGCCAGAUCCAGAGGGUUGGAAGUCAGCUGCGGGUCUGCAAUGACGGCAAACAGUGGUGGACGGCGAGUGAAAGCUCAGCUCGAGCCAUAAAAAACACAGACCAGAAGAGUGUGCAGUUGCAAGAUUUAAUAGAGUGAAAACAGAGCUCCCAUAAAAUGGGAGGGGACACAAAGGGGGUUGCCCUUCAUUCUGUUUUUCAUAAGGACUGUACUAAUUUACACUCCCACCAACAGUGAAUAAGGGUUCCAUUUUUUGCACGUCCUUGCCAACACAUCUUAUCUUCUGUGUUUUUGAUAGUAGUCAUUCUAAUAGGCAUGAAGUGAUAUCUCAUUGUGGUUUUAAUUUGCAUUUCCCUGAUGAUUUGUGAUGUUGAAUAUUUUUUUCAUAUACCUACUAGCCAUUUGUAUGUCUUCAUUUGAGAAAUUCUAUUCAAGUCGUCUGACCAGUUUUUAAUUAGGUUAUUUGCUUUCUUACUAUUGAGUUGUUUCAAUUCCUUAUAUAUUUUGGAUAUUAACCCCUUGUCAGAUGUUUGGUUUGCAAAUAUAUUUUCUCAUUCUGCAGGUUGUCUCCUUACUCUGUUCAUUAUUUUUGUAGUUAUGCAGAAGCUUUGUAGUUUGAUGUAAUCCCAGUUGUCCAAUUUUGCUUUUGUUGCUUGUCAUUUGGGGACAUACCCAUAAUUGAUCUUAGCCAAAAGGCUGAGAAGUGAUUUGGGUCAUAUUAAAAAAUAUCAUUGCCAAGACCAAUAUAAUGGAGUUUUUUUCUAGGUUUUCUUCUGGUAAGUUUAUAGUUUCAGGUCUUAUGUUUAAGUCUUUAAUCCAUUUUGAGUUGACUUUUUUACAAAGUGUGAGAUGAGGGUCUAGUUAAUUUUUUUUUUUUGUAAAUUGACAAAUUAUAGUUGUAUAUAUUUAUGGGGUACAAAGCAAUGUUUUGGUUUAUUAAUACAAUGUGGAAUAAUUAAAUCUAGGUUGAUAUUAAAUCAAUAAAAUUGACAUCCAUCACUUUAAAUACUUAUUUUUUUGUCAUGAAACAUUUGAAGUUUACUGUUUUAGUGAUUUUGAAUUGCACAGUACACUAGAAUUAACUAUAUACGUCAUGCUGAUGUAAUAGAUUUCAAAAAACAAACACUUAUUCCUCCUGUUCAACUGAGGCUUUGUACCUUUUGACAGUCAUCUCCCAUUCACCCAAACCCCUAGCCUCUGGUAGCCAUCAUUCUACUCUCUGCGUCUAUAAAUUUGAUUGCUUUAGAUUCCACAUAUAAGUGAGAACCUAUGGUAUUUGUCUUUGUGUGUCUGGCUUAUUCCACUUAGCACAGUGUUCUCCAGUUCCAUCCAUGUUGUUGCAGAUGACAAAAUCUCUUUCUUUUUAGUUUCCAUUAUUUUAUUUUAUUUUAUUUUAUUUUAUUUUAUUUUAUUUUAUUUUAUUUAUAUGUUUGUUAUGUUAUGUCAUGUUAUGUUAUGUUAUGUUUGUUAUGUUAUGUUAUGUUAUGUAUGUUAUGUUAUUUUUUGAGACAGGGUCUUCUUGUUCCUUUGCCCUGGCUGGAGUGCAGUGACAUGAUCACAGCUCACUGCAGCCUUGACCUCCCAAGCUCAACUGUCCUUCUGCCUCAGCCUCCUGAGUAGCUGGGACUACAGAUGGUUGCCACCACACCUGGCCAAUUUUUUUAUUUUUUGUAGAGCUGGGGGUCCCACUAUGUUGCCAUGCUGGUCUCAAACUCCUGGGCUCAAGUGAUC